AGAGAGAGAGAGAGAGAGAGAGAGAGAGAGAGCGGGAGAGAUUUUCUUUUUAUUUUUUGUUUAGAGAGAGAGAUCUUCAAAUCCCUUAUUUUAUGGUAAAUGGAGACCUGCGACUUUCUUAAUCGAACUAACUCUUCAUUUUUUUAGCAGAGAAAGUGACUAUAUUUGGCGCGAGAAUGUUCUUCAUAUGGCGACAACGUGGAUCCUUUCAGGCGAUCCCGAAUCAGAAGGAGGGCUGACAGGUCUAGUGUCAAGCUCAGGUGACAAUUCGAGCAUGUGCUUUCUGAAUUCCUAGGAAUGUGAAGAGAAAUAUACCAUCAUCUCAUGGAAUACCUGCAAUGGACUGUUGUAAUGUUAUUCUAUUUUUUGGUAUUAUAGAUAUCCUUCAGGGAUACGAUAUGAAGAAGUGCUUCGAGCUCACUUAUAAAUCAUUGCUGUUCGAUUCUUGGUCAGUCUCAGCUGUAAAUCCCAAAGUCUACUUGGGCCAUUUCCAGGAUUUUCUCAGCCAAGUAUUUCCAGCAGAGGACUUGGACUAAAAGCUUGCCACAAUUAAUCUUAUUGGUAAGAAGUUUGAUUUUUUGUC